rnacentral:rRNA from 1 species
UACGUAGGGGGCAAGCGUUGUCCGGAAUCAUUGGGCGUAAAGCGCGUGUAGGCGGCUCGAUAAGUCUGCUGUGAAAGUCCAGGGCUCAACCCUGGGAUGCCGGUGGAUACUGUCGAGCUCGAGUCCGGAAGAGGCGAGUGGAAUUCCUGGUGUAGCGGUGAAAUGCGCAGAUAUCAGGAGGAACACCGAUGGCGAAGGCAGCUCGCUGGGACGGUACUGACGCUGAGGCGCGAAAGCGUGGGGAGCGAACAGG